UGAAGACUGCGCUUAAAACUCCACGGAUGAUUAUUAGUGUGUGACACCGACACACACACAGAAGAAACAAUGAUUUCUCUUAUUCUAACUCUGGGGACAUUCUGUCUGCUUGCACAAGUGUCUCAUGAAGAGGUUCAGUCUCCUGAGUCUCUGUCUGUUAAAGCAGGAGAAUCUGUCUCUAUCAACUGCACUGGGACCAGCGGAGUUGGUGAUGACAUGAGCUGGUAUCUGCUGAAAACUAGAGAAGCUCCUAAACUCCUGAUCUACACAGCCACUGAACUUGAAUCUGGAGUCCCAGAUCGAUUCAGUGGAAGUGGAUCUGAACCUGAUUUCACACUGAACAUACGUGGAGUCCAGUCUGAGGAUGCAGGAGUUUAUUACUGUAUGGGGUAUUAUAGUGAUACAGUGUUCACACAGUGAAACAGCAUCGUACAAAAACCUCCCUCAGUCUGACAGCUAAGAGAAUAUGAGGAUAAUUU